UCAGUCCAAAAAAAAAAAAAAAAGGUUCAACUCACAAUUUGUGCCCUACUCCACAACACUUCUUUGGCGAAGUAUCAGAGUUCAUCUUCCCCUACGACGUAUUGACGACAUCAAGCUAUAGCAUCAUUGUGAUUUCAAGGUAUAUCAUAUCUUGAGAAGAAAGAAGUCCGCACCCGUCUAAGAGAGAUAUGGCAAAGAAACGAUUUAGAAUUUGCAAUCUUGAGAAUGAGUCCCAGAACAAGCGAUCAAAUGGCUCUUCAUAGCCUAGCCAGCCAAAUAACUCUUCAUAGCCUAGCUAGCCAAAUAACUCUUCACAACUGAACGCACCAAGUGAAACUUCACAACCUAGUCACUAAAUUAGCUCUCCACAGCUAGACUGGCCAAAUAGAACUUCACAACUUAGUCGAUCAAAUGCCUCUUUACAGCUUAAUCGGCCAAAUGGAACUUCAUAGCCUAGUCGAUCAAAUGGCUCUUCACAACCUAGUUGGUUACAUCCUUCCUCACAUGCUCCAUCACAUGUUCCACAUCCUUAACCUCAAGAAUCAGAGGUUAACCCUCAGUUUGAAGAUGAUUUAGAUGAGGACUGACUAAGGGAAGAAGAAAUGCAACGUACAGAUAAAUUGGCCAAGCGAAACACGUGGGGAAUUACACGUAUGGUUGAAGUGUGGAAUUUGACUCCAGAAGAAUGCAUUGUGCUCACCUUCAACACGGAUUUGUAGGCUGUUUCUACAGAGGGUGGUAUAUUCAGUCGCUUCCUAGGCACCAUUGCUAGAAAGCCACACUUAUGCCCAAUUAAGUACAAGAAUUGGCAUGAAGUGCUAGAUCAGUAUAAAGAAGAUUGUUGGAAUAUUAUCGAGGAGCAAAAAGAUAAGAUUGCACUAGAUCGAGCAAAAUUAUAUAUACUGCUUCACAAAAGAAAGGAUGGGACACCAGUCAAUGAAACAGCAGCUACAAAAAUUGAAAAACUAGAAGCUUUGAUGAGCUCAAAACCAAGUAGCUUCAAAGGAAAUGCUAGUGGACAUAUAUCUUGGUCACCAAAUGAUAUUUAUUCUCAAGUGAUGGGUAAAGAGCAUCAUGGUUGUGUUCGAGGUUUAGGAUUUGGGCCCACUCUUUCCAAGCAUGGCUUCAUGUGUAAUAGUUUUGACCAUUUAAGAAUGGUUUUUGAUGAAGAGAGAAUGAGAGACAAAGACACUAUAAUUGAGUUGAAGGAACAACUAAAAACUCAAGAUGAUCAGUUGCAAACUCAAGAUAUUUAGUUGCAAGCUCAAGAUGCUGUAAUAAACUCUUUGAAAGAGCAAGUAACAUUUUUGAUGAGACAACGACAGAGUUCUACUGGUUU